rnacentral:rRNA from 1 species
CCUACGGGAGGCAGCAGUAAGGAAUAUUGGACAAUGGACGCAAGUCUGAUCCAGCCAUGCCGCGUGAAGGAUUAAGGCCCUCUGGGUUGUAAACUUCUUUUAUAGGGGACGAAAAAAGGGCUUUCUAGCUCGACUGACGGUACCCUAUGAAUAAGCACCGGCUAACUCCGUGCCAGCAGCCGCGGUAAUACGGAGGGUGCAAGCGUUAUCCGGAUUCACUGGGUUUAAAGGGUGCGUAGGCGGGUAGGUAAGUCAGUGGUGAAAUCUUCGAGCUCAACUCGGAAACUGCCAUUGAUACUAUUUAUCUUGAAUAUUGUGGAGGUGAGCGGAAUAUGUCAUGUAGCGGUGAAAUGCUUAGAUAUGACAUAGAACACCAAUUGCGUAGGCAGCUCGCUACACAUAUAUUGACGCUGAGGCACGAAAGCGUGGGGAAUCAAACAGGAUUAGAUACCCUGGUAGUCCACGCCCUAAACUAUGAUUACUCGACAUUAUGNGAUACACUAGUAUGUGUGUGAGAGAAGACGAGUUAAGUUAAGUUACCUACCGUUACGGUUAAGGUAACGGUUAACCGACCGUAAGGUUAGGUUAACGUUAAAGGUAAGUUAGGUUACGGACGUUGAGACGAGACGACGGACGACGACGAGGAGGAGG